rnacentral:rRNA from 1 species
AUACGUAGGUGACAAGCGUUAUCCGGAUUUACUGGGCGUAAAGGGCGUGUAGGCGGUCUUGCAAGUCAGAAGUGAAAUUCCUGAGCUCAACUCGGGCGCUGCUUCUGAAACUGCAGGACUUGAGUGCUGGAGGGGAUAGCGGAAUUCCUAGUGGAGCGGUAAAAUGCGCAGAUAUUAGGAAGAACACCGGUGGCGAAGGCGACUAUCUGGACAGUAGCUGACCCUGAGGCGCGAAAGCGUGGGGGGCAAACAGGUUUAGAUGCCCUGGUAGUCCACGCCGUAAACGAUGAUUACUAGGUGUAGGGGGUAUCGACUCCCUCUGUGCCGCAGUUAACACAAUAAGUAUGCCGCCUGGGGAGUACGGCCGCAAGGUUGAAACUCAAAGGAAUUGACGGGG